rnacentral:rRNA from 1 species
AUAGCGGAGAAAAGAGACUAACAGGAUUCCCCUAGUAACGGCGAGUGAAGCGGGAAAAGCUCAAAUUUAAAAUCUGGCGGUCUUAAGGCCGUCCGAGUUGUAAUCUAGAGAAGUGUUAUCUGUGCUGGACCAUGUACAAGUCCCUUGGAACAGGGCGUCAUAGAGGGUGAGAAUCCCGUCUAAGACAUGGACUCCCAGUACUGUGCGAUGCACUCUCGACGAGUCGAGUUGUUUGGGAAUGCAGCUCAAAAUGGGUGGUAAAUUCCAUCUAAAGCUAAAUACAGGCAAAAGACCGAUAGCGAACAAGUACCGUGAGGGAAAGAUGAAAAGCACUUUGGAAAGAGAGUUAAACAGUACGUGAAAUUGUUGAAAGGGAAACGCUUGAAGUCAGUCGCGUCUUCRGGGACUCAGCUUGGCAUCUUUGCCAAGUGUACUUCCCUGAGUGACGGGCCAGCAUCAGUUUCGACCGCUGGAAAAAGGCUUGAGGAAGGUGGCACCUUUCGAGGUGUGUUAUAGCCUCUUGUUGUAUGCGGCGGUUGGGACUGAGGAUCGCAGCAUGCCUUUAUGGCCGGGGUUCGCCCACGUAACAUGCUUAGGAUGCUGGCGUAAUGGCUUUAAACGACCCGUCUUGAAACACGGACCAAGGAGUCUAACAUGCC